ACCAAACAAACAAAACCAAGAAAGUGUGUUCAUGUACUUUGGCCACUUUUAAAUGGGGUUGUUUUUUUCUUGUGUAUUGAAGUUCCUCAUAGAUGCUGGAUUUUAGACCUUUGUCGGAUGCAUACUUUGCAAAUAUUUUCUCCCAUUCUGUAGGUUGUCUUUUUACUCUGUUGAUAGUUUCUUUCGCUGUGCAGAACCCUCCUGUGGAGCUGUUCUCCGAGCCCUCCACACAGGCCCCCCCGGCGGCGCUGCCUGGCCCCGAGCUGAGAACUCAUCUGGCUGAGAAAGGGAUGGAUGAACGGCCGGCCGCUGUGUGAUUUGAGCCUUCAAGGCAAGAGGCAGCGGAAACCGGGCGGUUUUGGUACUUUCUUCUCCCCUGUCUUUGCAUCUGAUAUCUUACAGAAUGUCCUUGAUCUUCACGCGCUGCUUCUGAGAU